rnacentral:rRNA from 1 species
CCUACGGGAGGCAGCAGUGGGGAAUAUUGGGCAAUGGACGAAACUCUGACCCAGCAAUGCCGCGUGAAGGAAGAAGGCCCUCGGGUUGUAAAGCUCUUUUUUCAGGGAAGAAAAAAAUGACGGUACUGGAAGAAUAAGCUUCGGCUAACUACGUGCCAGCAGCCGCGGUAAUCCGUAGGCGGCAAGCGUUAGUCGGAUUGACUGGGUGUAAAGGGGGGGUAGGCGGUAUUGCAAGUUAGAUGGGAAAUCCAUGGGCUUAACCCGUGGACUGGCUUUGAAACUGUAGGUCUUGAGUGCAGGAGAGGCAGGCGGAAUUCGUGGUGUAGCGGUGAAAUGCGUAGAUAUAAGGAGGAACACCAGUGGCGAAGGCGGCUAACUGGACUGCAACUGACGCUGAGGCGCGAAAGUGUGGGGAGCAAACAGGAUUAGAUACCCGGGUAGUC